GGCACGGUGGCCAAGUGUUUAUGACGUUUGCCUCGCACCUCUGAGGUUGGGGGUUCAAUUCCCACCUCUGCCC